AUAUUGAAAUAUAAGUGAACUUUUUUUCUGUGAUAAUAAGAACUAUAAUUAAACGAUUUUAGUGAAUUGUGUAUUCAUAAGAAGAAAACUUAACUAUUAAAUAAUGAUCGGUGUUUGAGAAAGUUUUAAUUAUAUAGAAUUAAUAAAUUUAAAACAUUUAGCGCAUACAAGUUUAAUUUAGUAUUUAUUGAUUUUUCAAUUGUUCAAUAUUGAUUAUUAUCAUUUAAUAGCUCUAACAAUGACUGGUUAUUGGAAAACUUCGAGGCAUCGCCGUAAACGUUGUUCUCAGUAGUAUGUUCUCGAUAGUGAAUAUAAAGUGAAUAUAAAGUGCGUGUAUAAAAGUGAAUCAAUCCGUAUGGUAUUACGGCGUCACUUUCUAAAAAAAAUUAAUAAUUUUCUUGAUUGAUUCGAGGUCCAGUAAGUGAGGAAAUCGAUCAGUGGUUCCUGUUGUAUGUAGUAACGAAAAUAAAAUAAUCGGUGAAAUUGUGGCUGAAGUGGUAAAACGGACAAAGAGAAAGACGGUUUCGGCAUGAUCUGUGGAGGUAACAAGAUCUCGUUAGAAAUAUUGGGCGGGGAGGAGGAGGCAUGGAAGCUGAAGCUGGUCGGCAGUCUCACCAUCAGAGGCUGCAGCUUACCCUGUCAUCCCCGGGAAUCCCCGGACUGGACGUCGUGAGAGCAUUGCAUCAGACUGUGAUAUCAUUGCGUUCUGCGCUGGAUUCCUCACGGGAAGAGCUUCGUCGUCUUAAGGAGAGGGUUGGUGAUUUUUCUGGCGAAAGCUACGUUAACGUUGUCGAGAGGCUCGCUCUUGAGAAUCACGUCCUUAGACGAAAGAUCCUAAGUAGGAACAGUGAGUUUUCUAGCGAUGCUGCUACAAGUCCGCCACCUCAGGCCCUCGUUUCUUCUUCACUCGCAGUAGAGGACGUCGAAGAUCUGUCAGAGGAAGUAGGCGUACUCAUGGACGAGUCCAGGGACGAACUAGUCGCGGAGGACAUGCCAGAGGCAUCUAAACCGGUGAUUGGGCCGCGUACCGACACCAACGCUGGAAAUAAUAAUAAUGAGAAUCCCGAUUAUUCGCAAUCCCGCACAACCGACAAGGUAUCCAAGAAUAAUGCGCAAUCCUUCCCGAAAUCGGAAUCUAAGGACAUCGGAUCGAAGUGCGCUAUGUCCAAGGACUCUGUUCCCGUUAAACCUUUAAUUGGAAUAUCUAGCAUCGAUUUGGACGACACGUUGAAAAACGAGGCUUCUGCUUUGACCAACACCAGACAAUCCAAAGACAUUGAGGAGGAGGAUGGGAUCGAGGUACAAAUUGAUCAUUUGGAGGUGCAAGAGAAGGAUCUCGAGGAUCUAAGCUUGAAAUCUGUCUCCGACGGAGACAACUCGGUGUUCAGCGAUAAUCCGGACACGCAGGUGUCGCAGCAAAAUCAACGUCAGAAUCAAACGGCGGAUCAACCGAAACCGAACGAUCAAUCCGAGAACGAAUCUGAAGAGCUCGACGACAUCGAGUUGAUAUUCACGACGGACGAGACUUGUCGCGAUCUCGGUCUUCAGGAGGACCUCGUCUCCAUAACGGAAACCGAAUCCUGGCAACAGGCUGUACCCGCUGGCCAACCGGUGUUGUUGAAAUACACAAAAUCGGCGGAAGGCGAGUCGUUGGUGUGCAACGGUGAGAAGACCAGCUCCGUCGAGGAGGCGGUUUCCUCGCAGAGUUCGAGUAUCGAUCGCGAGGAAAGCGUGGACAGAUUCGACGAAGGUUCUAGCACCAGAUUGAACAAAAUAUGGUCCCAGUGUUCGGUGUUGGUUGAAACGGAUAUCAGCAAGUGUGGAGUCGUCGAAGAGCCCGAACAUGCUACCAGACAUGCGGUUAGAAGGAACACUUUGGCUGCACCACCCACUGCCUACAGACCGAUCAUCCAUCGCGAAGCUCUGGCGGGUAGCCGACGAAAGAGCAUGGCACCACUGAGGCCAGUGAUGGACAGGAUCACGGGCGCAAGGCGGGAAUCUGGCGCCCAAACAGACAUUUCUGCGCUUCCAGCCCAUUGGCGUUCCGAGAGUUAUCUCGCGCAUAAAGUGGCUCAUACGUUCACCACGUUGCCCAGCAAAUUUGCUUUGCCGGCCGGGGUGCCUGGAAGGCUUCGAUUAUCCGAUAAAACCCGAGAGGCGAGAAGAGUGAUGCUGUCCGACAUCAGCUUCACCAGUAUGGUACCGGAACUGUCGAGAAGUGCCGAUCACCUCUGCCACGAUUCACACGCACAGACUUGCUUCGGUUCCCGAGGUUGCGGACUUCGUACGCCGGACGUGCACCGGCGCGAGUCGUUGGGCUCUCCCGCGGGAUUCUGGCCCCGUUGCAACCCCGCCACAGGGCUGCCGAGCCCCUGCGACUGUCGUCUCUCGACCGACCUUUACUCUUCUCGAUACCGCGGUUCAUUGUCCUCGAUCCCAUCGCCCGGAUUGGAGGUGGUCGGCGGUCCACCGCGUAGACACUCGUGGAGAGCGACAGCGGCGUCCUUCGACACUUGGAGAGUCCCUCUCGCCACUUCCACCCCGAGACCCACCUGGUCCUCUAUGCCCUCCUCUCCUACCCACGUGCACCCCCCCGCCGCGUCCUCGAAAACUUCUAAGAGCGUCCCUAAGAGAACCAGAUCGAAGGUCACCUUUCAAGAAUGCCCGAUGACGCGUGGCAGCUUGCCAAAUCUUCGCUCGGAUUUGGUGGGCGGCGAUAACAGCGGCGAUUCGACCGAGUCGUUGAUCGACGAGGCCGAGGAUUAUUUGCGACGGAGCAUCGACUCGAUGCUGACGAUAUCCAGUAGCGGCGUCAGUUCCGAUUACUGGAACAGACAGACAGCCAGGCGGAGACGUACACGCCGAUACUCCGAGCCGGAUCUAAUCCGUGACUGGCAUCCGCCACAGGAUGCCAGACCGUACCUGCCAAAGAUACCAAGAGAUCUAAAGCUGGAUCAUCUCGUGAAGAUUAUAUCGCCAGAGGGUAAAGUUCUUCAAGGGCGAGUGAGAUACGUGGGCCCCGUACCGGGCCGCGAGGAGACUCACGUAGGCGUGGAGUUGCCUUACUCGAAUGGCUGCUCCGAUGGCACGUUUCACGGAAGAAGAUUCUUCGAUUGCGAUCCCGAUCGAGCGAUCUUCGUCCCGUUCAAGAAAGUGAUUCUGGCCUGGUGCACCACUUGACCCGAGCCUCCGAGCAACCGAACAACUCCCCGAAUUCUAUUGUCCCAGUUCACCAUGUGAAUCGAAAAAACGGAGAAACCAGAGGUCAUCGACAUCGCUCGACUUCUUUUGAAUUUCUGCUGAAACGCAUUAAAACAUCGUUCUGGGAAUGACUGCACUAUAUUUCUUCAAACUCGAGUACAUCUGUGCAUAAUAUAUUUUAAAGAGAGGAGCGGCGCAAAAGAGCGCGCGAUACUCGGUGAAAAGCGAGUUGUUCGAUGUUUAAGAAAGAUGCAAAGAGAAAAAGGUAAGGAGAAAAUGACAAAGAGGAAAAGAUAAAAUAAGGAAUAGAGAAAGAAAAAGAGAAUUCCUAAUCGGAGGCUAUACACAUGUAUAUUAUAGUUGGAAAGAGUUUCUUUUUUUUUUUUUAAGUAUUUAAAAAGGUUAUAGGACACUCUGUACAAUUCGAGCUGUGUAUAAUCUUAAUCGCUGUGCAUUCGUGGAAGAAUAUAAUAAUAUUUAAACGCGUGUCUGUAUCCGUGUCUGUAUUUCUGUGCAACAAUGUAAAUGGCAUGAUUGCAGUUGCAGUUUAAUGGAUCUUAAAAGAGAAAAAAAAAAAAAAAAAAAAAAAAACAAAUAUAAGCUAACCAACUAACGGAAUUCUAGUUAUUAGGAUUUUAAUCAAGCGUCUUCGUCUUUAAAAGAUCUUUAAAGAUGGCGUGAGAAGAUAUCACCAUCGUUUCGAGAAAUAUUCGAAUCGUAUCGUGUAAAGUGAUUCGCGUGGCCAUCGAUGUUUGAUCUGUAAAAUCGUGUUCGAACAGAACGAUAGAGGUAGAGAGAGGUUGAUCGUGAAAUGAAUUUUGUACGAGCAGGAUGGUUCGUUUGUUAAAAUCGAGUUCUCGGUAUAUACAUAGAUUUAGUUUGAAUUGUGAAUCGAUUGGAUGAUAUGCCAAAUAAUUUUUUUAUGAAUUUUAUUAAAAAAAGAAAAAAAGACGUUGCAAAGAAUAUAAAUUUCGAAUGAUAAUUAUAUUAAUAAUAUGAGACUAAAUUAUUUACGAAUUUCAUUUGGAUUCCAUCUUACAAAUUUCUAACCUAAAACAUUGAAAGACGAAAUUUUAUUUUUAUAUUGUGUGUAUUCUUACCUUUAUAUCCGACUCAUUGCAUAUUCAUAAAAAUUGUAAUUAUUGAGACUGUUCGCGGUUGAUUAUCAUUAUUCAACAUAGUAGCAAAGAAAUAGAAUCAAGGUUAAAUAUCAUAAUUUGCCACAUUAGCGUCUCUCGAUUCCCAGGAAACGCGGGGAAUUAUUCAAUUGGAAUUGUAUUUGUUAUGGAAAAAGAUGGAAAAAUUUUUUCCUAUGAAGAUAACGCGAAAAGACGAAACUCACUGGUCGAUGCGAGAAAUCAUCGAGAUUGGAGAUUGCUUCUUACACAUAGUGUCUUGUACCUGCAUAUUUAGCUUAUCAAGUCCCGAAAUUUGGAUAAUUUGAAUACGCAGAAAUAAAAUUAUUUUAUAUAAUUUAUCGAAAGAUUUUUAUAAUUUUUUUUUCUUCUUAACGUUUUCUAUGAUUUUCCUUUUUCCAGAUUUCGGGAUUUAUGCGUUUACGUUAAGUUAAGCUAUAGUGAAUAGAUGGUUGCAGUAGGCUAUAGAAAGUGUUACGAUUAUAUAAAGGUUACGAUAGAUGAUAAUUUUUUACUCGUAUUGUUUUCGAUUCUCGCUAAAUGCCACAUUGACGAUUUUAAGAUAGUUACAAAUGAUAGGCUGAAUCGGUUUCACGCUUUUAGCAGAUCUUAACAAACGGGUACCUGGACCACGUUGUUCGUAUGAGUAAAAUGUGCGUUUUCUGCACGUAUUUCUGAUAAUGAGUAUAUUAGAUGUAUCGUAUUGAUUUCUCGCUCCAUUCAUAAAUGUUCAAGUUAUUAUGUUAUUAUAACGUUUAUUAUAAGAGAAAAAUCUAUGUAAUUAAAAUUUAUGAUUUGUACCAAAUAUUAAAUUUUCAUUAAAUAUAAUGAAAGUAUCCUAAGACUUUUGAAUUUUAAUAUUAGAUUUUUUUAAAAUAAUAAUAGAUUAAAAUUUUAUUUUUUUAAUUUAUUCACUCUAUAUAUAUAUUUAGAACCAAAGAAAAAUAGGAUUGUUAUUAACCAACGAAAAUGUUGUUUUCUAACCUCUUUUAUUGUUUUAUCGUUUAAGCAAAGAAUAUAAGAAUAUUGAAACAUGUAAACUUGAUAGAAAUGGCCGCGAUACUGACAACUUUUAUCAUCGGUGUUAUUAAAGCACAUUAUGACCGAAGUAAAAAGCCAGUGCAAUUAAUUCGGUUCAAUCUUUUCCCUGCAACACCUGCCACGAGGCUCACGGUUUUAGAGUCCGGCAACUUUGCGAAUAUAAAGUCUUUCUCUCGCGUGACUGCGGGCAAAUUUAGUUAUGUUAUACGAAACGAUACCAAUCUACGUGUACGUAAUAUCUUUUGUUCGAAAGAAGAAUCGAGAAGUCUGUGAAAUUUAUCUCUUUUUUUCUCUCUCUCUCUCUUUCUUCCUCUUCACAAUUUUCAAAGUUACGCGACACGAUCCAAAUGCAAACUCGAUCCAUUGUAAAAUUAAUCGAAUUUGUUUUUUUUUAGUUUUGGAAUUUGAAAAUUUAAAUACGAUUUAAAUUUUAAUCGGAUUAAAAAAUAAAAUUGAAUUAUUAAAUUCAAUCGAAUGAAAAAUCUGUGAUGUAUUUUCAUUAAAAAUUUGAAGCUAACUGUCGAAUUUAAAUCCGAAAUUGAAAUCCAAUUUAAACUCGGAUUUAAAUUUAAAAUGUUAAAUUGAUAUCCGCUCUUUGUGAAAUGUUCGAUCAAGCGUUUUCGAUCCGUAUAGAGGUUAAGUCGUGUUUUAGUGGCCAACUCAAACCUCCUACGACUCUCUGCAAAACAAGAGCUCUCUGGAAAUAACUGAUUUGCUCUGUGAACCGAAAAAUCUUUGAAUAUUAUUUCGUCCUCGUUAACUAUUCCUGAAACGAUUUUAUUUUUUUCUUCAAUUUCAUCUAAAUUAAUUCAUUUUUAACGCAUCGAUUGUACAAACGUAAAGCUUCUUUGUCUUUCUUCCCUCGUUCAUUAUAUAUAUAUAUAUAAUUUUUUUAAAAUAAAUAAUAAACGUAUAAAAAAAUGUUUUCCUAAAUGUUAAAAAUCUUAGAUAAACGACACACCUAAUACGCUUAUGCGCAGCAUUAUAAGACGAACACGUGCCUCGGUGCCGUAUUUAAUGCCAUUUAAGUACAACAGUAACGCGUCCAACGCUUAAAGCUUAUUAUAUAUUCGAUACAAUGUUACGUUCGCGAUUGCGUUCAAAGAUACUUUAUUAUUCUCGUUCACAAAUCGCACAGUGUCGCGCACGUGUGUUCCAAGGAAUAACUAGUAAUCUCAAGAAUAAUCGAUUGACUAGGAAUAUUUAGCUUUACUCUUUCUUCGAUAAAUUUCCCUUUGACUUUUAAUAUUUACCAGACUAAAUUCGAAAGUUCCUGAAUUGCAUCGAAACCGUGUAAACUUUUGAGAUUUGUUCUUUUAGAGACAAUUACAAAUGUAAUUUUCGUAAUUCAGAUGGUUAAGACAAUUGAAAAUUUCAUUUUAAUUGAAUUUCUUUUUUUUUGUCUGAUUAAAUGAAAUCUUGAAAAAAAUAAAUCAUUAUUUGAAUAAAAAAUGUUUAGAUGAAUUGAAUUAUAUAUUGCAUAAAUCUUAAGAGAGAUUAAAUUUUAAUACUUAUUUUCUUAUGGAAGAAAGUCGAAAUUCUUAGAUUCUUUUGAAAAAGCUAUCUUUAAAACUAUAUUAAAACUUUUGAUUUUUAGAAAUUAAUUGCUCGUGUAUUAAAGAAAAAAGGCAAUUUCUUUUAAAUGUAUAAUACUUCAAUUUUAUUUUAUUACAGUUUUUUUCCUUGUAAAUAUAAUUUUUCAUUGUACAUGUAAGAUUUAUAAAAAUUGAUUUUAUAUCCAAUGUAAUCCACAAUUCGAUCUCAAUUUUUAAUACAAAUAUAGAUUUAAUUUUACACUACACCCUCGUGCUUUCUCUCUCAAAAAGUUCGUUCUGAUGGACCAAUCAUAAUCGUCGCAAUACAUCGUUAUCGCGUCUUUAAAUAACAGAUAUAACAUGUAUAAGAUUCAUCUACCUAUUUAUGUUCGUAUUUCUUUUUUCGCAUAAUGUAUUUUAUGUAUUUUCGUUACGCUUGACGAGCCAUCGAUAAGUGGAAACGUGUUCGAAGCGGAUGAAGAGGCGUUUCGCGGCAAACAGAAGCGUUUACGAGUUGCUACACGUUUAUGUAACGCCUCUGACAAGCGUCAAGCAGUUGUUUUUUUGCACAAAAUCAUUUAUGAGAACGCCAUGACAACGUUCCAUGACGUGGAAAUAUAAUUAAUGCAUCGAUGAUCGCUGAUCGCAGUCUGCCAUUAUUGUUCCUUAUAUAGGAGUCUUAAUGCAUAAAAUGUACGUACGUAAUUUAUUAACUGUUGAUUCAAACUUGAUAUAUGCUACGUAAACUAUGUUACAUUGUAAUGUAAAUAAAUAAGCUAAUGUAAUUAAUAUAAUUUUUACGUGUUAAAUUGUAAAUCUAAUUGUAAUAUGGAUAAUAUAUAAAUAAAUGAAUUUGAUCGUUAAAAUUACUUCUGAUUCAAUUUAUAAUAUCUAUCUAAUGAAAGAAAUAUGAUAUAUAAUAAUAUUCUGAUUGAUUACUUCGUAUUUCCACUUAUGAAAAUGUUAUAAUGUUAUUCCAUGAAAUUAUAUAUUAUAUAUUAUUUAACACGAAUGGAAUAACGUCCCAUUUUAGAGUGAUCGAUGAUACCUGGUGCUUACCUAUACAAAACUGAUUUAAAUUUAAUUAAUAAAAUCAUCGUGAACCAAAAAAGGGAUGUUUUCCUUUCGAUAAAUGGCGGACUGCAGCGAAUAUAUCGAAUAUGAUCUCUGAGAAAGCGAUGAAUGGCGUUUCUUUUUUGAUAAAAAUACAAUUCUAUGACAAAUAAUCUUGCGUUUGCACAACAAAAUACAAUUGCAAAUAUGUACAUUGUUCUCGAUUGCAUGCAUGAAAACUUAAAGUAUGAAAAUACGAAUAACAGAAAAUGAAGGCGGCAGAAUGAUGUUGAUCGGUAUUAAUUAUGAUAAUUGCGUUUAUGUUUAAGUAUUUCGAUAUAUUGGAUUGAUGAUGAAUGGGCGUGAAAAUGAUACGUUUGGAUCCAUUGAAAUAUAUAUUAUCCUCUUCAUGCUGUUGCGCAAUUAUAAAAAUAAUUUUAUUCCUUGAAAAAAAAAAUACAAGUAGAGAAUACUUUUUGUUCACCUAUAUAAAAAGAAAGAUAUGCAAAAAUUAAGAAAAGAUUUUAAGAGUUUAAAUACAGUUAAUAGUUUUUAUAAAAAUUCAUAUAUUCUAUAUAUAUAUUAAAAUUACUUGAUAGUUAUAUAUUUUAAAUUUUUUAUAUAAUAAUACGUACCAAUUGUUUGUGUUAAUAUCUUCAUUAUAUAUUCACUUAAUAUCAUAGGAACUUCUUAAAUUGAAAAACUGUAUUCUUUACAUUGAAGUGCUUCUAAGUGCUUCCUGAAAAAAAUUUUCUAUUAGUAAAAAAUGAAUAUUUAUUAUACUUGUAUAUAAUUAAGUCAUUUUUUUCCUUUAAUUUUUCGAAUUUGAAUUAAUGAAAAAUUGAGUUAAAAAGAAGUAACAAAAGAAAGAAAAUGGCUUAAUUAAUUUAUCGUUAAAAUAAUCGAUUUCUCCUGAAAUGUCAUCAUUUAUAAUCGCGUGUUGACUUUUCACAAAAUUCUCUGAAAUUUUAGCGAGCGUGAAAAGAACGAGGAAAUCGAAUGGAAAUCGUAAAAGAAAGAGCGUGACGAGGAUAAUAAUGAGCGAUUCGAUCGAUCCUAUCGUUUCUAGUGAAAUGGCCGCGAUAUAAUAUAUAUAUAUCUAUAUAUAGUAUAUACUAUAUAUAUGUACUAUAUAUAGAUAUAUAAGUACUUAAGAAGAUUCGUGAUUCGUGAAAUUCAACGGCUCGUUAAAUUGAAUUCCACCUUGGAAUAGGAAUGAUGCUCGCCUCGACGAGAUUGUUAUCGUUGUACCUAAAAAAAAAAAAAAAAUUAUAGAUAUUAACAUAAAAGAGACACAAAGAACACACAUUGUCGUUCUCUCACUAUUUAUUGUAUUGUAACGCGAUGGGUAUGAUCAUAUACCGGAAAAUAAAACUAUUAUUACUCUAAA